rnacentral:rRNA from 1 species
UACAGAGGUGGCAAGCGUUGUUCGGAAUUACUGGGCGUAAAGGGCGCGUAGGCGGGAUGGCAAGUCGGUCGUGAAAUCCUUCGGCUCAACCGAAGAACGUCGGCCGAUACUGCCGUUCUUGAGGGAUGCAGAGGAGACUGGAAUUUACGGUGUAGCGGUGAAAAUGCGUAGAUAUCGUAAGGAAGACCAGUGGCGAAGGCGGGU